UACGGAGGGGGCUAGCGUUGUUCGGAAUUACUGGGCGUAAAGCGCACGCAGGCGGUCUGCUAAGUUUGGAGUGACAGUUGGUGGCUUAACUGCCAAAGUGCUUCGAAACCUGACAGACUUGAGGGCUUCAGAGGGACACGGAAUUCCGGGUGGAGUGGUGAAAUGCGUAGAGAUCCGGAGGAACACCAAAGGCGAAGGCAGUGUCCUGGGGAGUACCUGACGCUCAGGUGCGAAAGCCAGGGGAGCGAACGGG
rnacentral:rRNA from 1 species